GAAUCUUGUUUUACUUUGAUUGCUUGUGCCCAUAUUUGGGUGAAUACAAGUGAGGUGAGGCAGAGGCUCAGGGUUCUUCUGCCUACUAGAGGCAAGAGCCUUCUGGCUUCCUGCAUGUUAAGGUGACUCAAUGUGUCUGUCAUUCAUCAACAACCCCUCCCCAGAGAGAACAAAGUAGCAUGCCUAUGUCCUGGAACAAGGCCAGCCGGCCAGGUGGGGGUUGAUUACAGGGACCCCUCCCUCAAGUAAAAGUAAUAAUUGUGGAGGAAAAAAAUCUCACCAACUUGGAACCUCUCUAUCCAACAUUUUCAACCCUUCUGCACAAUAUCCUAGGCAAGUUUAUUUCAAUGAACUGAUGCAAUGAUGGUCAAAGCUGUUUAUUUCACUUUAGAGCAAUAAAAUUUUCUGUUUUCUCUUUAAAUGAGUA
rnacentral:lncRNA from 1 species